ensembl:lncRNA
CUCCGCUUUGUGGGGGCUGAGGAUCUGGCCCUUGCAAUAGCUGUUCUCCCCCCUCUAUCCUUUUCUCCGUGGUAUAAAUAAAUGAAAGGUGUCCUAAUCAUAUUUUAGACUGUGUGCAGAGUCACAUGCUAAACCAUAAUGUCUCUGUAUUAGAACAUGAGGAAUGAUAAAUGGAGAUAAAUCUAAAAUUUAUAGAACAUGAACAUUUGCAUAAACUGCAAUAUCCAAACAUAUAGGCUGUUAAGUAACAAUUGUCACAAAGGGCAUAAAAAAUUCAACUUUGUUUCAUAAAAAGAUCUCAAAUUCCUAACAUGAUUAAGAUAAUAUAUCAUUUGUUCCUAUCUUAUUAAAGGCGUAAUUGUUGUUAGACACAGAAGUGGCAUUAAGUCUAAUCUGGCUUUAUAUAUGUACAAAUAGAAGGGGAGGUGAAUGUGAAAAUUGAUGCUUUUGGUGAUCCAUAGGCAUUUUAUUAAUGUUUGAAUAAUAACUGCCUGGAGGGCCUGUUAUAAAUUAAAGGGACGAAUUGAGAUAUAAAUUUUUAUGAGGACUAGUUAUACAUUUCCAUUAUGUGUUUAAAAAUGAAGGAAUUACUGUGAACACAGCAGAACUCACAUUUAUUUGAGGUGAUUUGGAUGGAAGGGAAGGUGCACUGAAGGAAGCUGCAUGCUGGCUGUAAGAAAGAUGUAUCUGUCCCUUUGAAGAGAUAUAUCAUAUGUCAUGCAUGAACUCGGUUCUACAGGAGACUUUUCUCUGCAGCUGAUUUCGCAUGAUUAUUUAUUUGACAACAGCAAGUGAUGAUAUAGCAAUGAGUUUAGGCCACUUAGAGAAGAAUGCUUAUUCCUAAAUCACAGAGGAGUUCCCCAAACCCAACUAUUGUCAAACCAGAGUUAAUCUAAUAGAGGAACCCAGUAACCUCUCUGGCACUUAUUUCUCAUUAUUCCUCCUGUCUGGAUAUACACAUCUUCAUUUGCAGUGCAUCCACCGGCCCUGCCGUGUAUCUCAGAGCUUCCUCCUGCCCGUUGUUGUGGCUGUUUGCAGGAGCUCAGCUCUCAUUGCUGGGUGGGCACCGUAUUCCCUUUGCUAUCCACCAGAGCAGAUAUCCUGUAAGAUCCACAGUUAGUCCCAUCGAUGUGCUUUUCCCAUGACAUGGAGGGUGAAGAUAACCCAGUAUCUUCAAUGAAGCAGGCACUUUGGCCUGAGAAUACAUCUUUUCAUGACAGAGAGGGUGCAUUAUCCCAGUACUUAGGCAAUCACUGACUGUAUAGGGGAACUCUUUUCCACUUCCUUGUUUAUUGCUGCUGACCCCUGAAGGCGAAGCCUUUUAGAUCAAAUUCUUCAGGUUAUUUUGUAUUUAACCUUUAUUUAAAGCCUUUAUUUUUCUUGAUUUCGGUAGAUGCAAGAAAACUGAUAUCCCAGAGGUCCUGACCUAUUUUCUCUGUGCGGCAGUUCGUUGUCUAUAAAACAAGGAGACUCAAACAAGUGGUUUGAGGAGGAAAGUGUUCAUUGGUGUGAUGCUGAGAGAGAUGACAAUGUAAUGCCAUCUGCAGAUACGCCAGACCAACACAGCAGCUGUGCUACUGCAUUCUGGUGGUGUUUUAUGGCAAGACACACAGCACAGCGGUCUUCCAUUCUGCUGUCUUUCAUGUAAAUGAAUUAAUUUGCAAUUUUUUGUUGUUGCUUCUCCCAAGCACCACUCUAAUCAAGCUCACGAGGAUUAGGCAAGUACUUCCUGUUUGGACUAGGCCUGAUUCCUUGUGAAAUACGUUUAGCUGGUGCUCUUGGCUUGCAAAGGGCCCAAAAUCUUAAAGAAAUUGAUAAAACAUUGAGACUUAGCUCAGCUUCGGUUCUCAACUUUGAAGCAUCACUCUUGGCUCCACCAAUCAGGGAGAUCACUGUGUACACUCAGAGAACAGUGGCUGGGUGUACUUUGAUCUACAAGCAACAUUUAUUUUUUCCCCCAGGUGAGAAUGAGAAAAACGACAAAAUGUCUUCAUGGUUCUCAUUAAAGGUCCUACCUUUAGCAGCCCUUUGAAUCUGGAUCAGCUCCCCAGUCUUAAAAUUUGCAACCCUUCGAAUCAAGUUCAAGUGUGCCUUUCCUUCAAGGAUAGAACCAUGCUUGCAGCUAUCAUCGACCCCUGUGAUUCAAAAUACCAACACCACCACCUGGAAAUCCAUCUCAGAUGCCGCUCCUUCUUCAAGCAGAGUUUCCCACCUGUCUCAAACCAGGGGUUUUAGACAAUCAUGGAACUACCUGUGAAUAAUGCUGUGGUUCUGCUUCCUCCAGUGUGUCUUCAUAGGCCUGAUGUCAGCUUCUUUCUUGUGGAGACAAAGAAUGUCACCAUGAAUGUCCAUUGGCAAACUGGAUAAGAAGGAGUGUCACAGUGCAGGACAACCUAGAAAAUGACAGGUAUUUCCAGGCAUAGCAAUGAUGAGAUCAAAUUCCCCUCAACCUGCCUUGUUUGCUGAUCUUUUAAUCAGAUUCAACUUCACUGCAGCUACAGCACAAGGUUCCCUGACAAUGUAUGACAGCAUGUGACAGAAAAAUAUUUUGAUUUUGGUUUGUUUUUUGUUUUGGUUUUUUUUUGACCAUUUGAUGCUAUUUCAGAUAUAUCUGAAGCCCUGGCAGCAUCUGCUAAAUCUACCGAACUGUUUUAGUGGAGGUUUUUAUACUUGCAUAAUUGAACCAGAGGGUUUGGGGGUUGUGUUCAUGUGCGUGUAGGGGAAUCCAAACAGGAAAGCUGGGAAAUGAUCUAAACCCUUUGAGGUUAACGUGCCAUGAAAGAGCAUCAACGACCGAAGAGGACAUUAUUAAAAAGCAGCCAACCCAGCUCAAAAAGAACCACUGUGUGAAGCAAGAGCCUGCAGAACAACACCCAGGGCUGUUUGUGAUCCCACUGGGAUAUGUAUUUCAUCCCCUGUCUUCAUAUCUCCAGAUUUCCUCUGAACUGCUUCUGAGACGCAUUCUCAAAAAAGAAAAACACCAGCAACUACUGAAUGCCUCUUAUCAACCUUUUCCCCGCAAUCUGUUUCGUAUUCGUCUCACACCCUUGUUCUCGCAGUGUCUUGGGGAAAUGCUCGGAUCAAAGAUAAGAGAGAACAAGGAAAGGAAUGAAGCAAGAGGCAAACAACAAAACAAAACCACCCCCCCCCCCCCCCCCAAACUUUCUGACUAAACUUCUCUGCAAACCGUGUGCACGAUUACAGCACUGUUAAAACUGCCUUCUUCUUCGCCAGUACUUAAUUCCUGCUUUUAAAAUCAGGCUCCCUUUGAUCUUGAGGAUUGAAAUGAUCUGGAAAUGAAACAGCCAUUGCUUUGCAGAAAAUCUGGAUAGGGUCCCAGGCAUGGCUUUUACCUGGAAGGAUUCCAAAAUAGGAUGAAAUCUCUCCGGUUUCAGAACAAAUUGCAAGAUUUUUCUCUAUGUCUAGGCCAACUGUGGAACUCCAGCCCUGACGUCUGCUAGUUCCCAAAGCGCAGAUGUAAUAACCUCUAAGGUAAACUGUGGGCCCUAUUCCUCCAUUUUCUCCCCUCUGCCUCUCCUUCAAGGAUCAAAUGUUUGGAGAAUUUUAUUAAAACAAAGACUUAAAUUUCUGAGCAAACUUAAGUUGAGGAGACAGUUGCUUAUAACCUGGGCUAGGUUCAGCCACAGGAGGGUUGGGCAGGACAGAGGACCAGGAGCAUCUGUAACAUCUGGAUCUUGUUGCAUGCGAAGAAAUAUCUGCCUGGCUUUGCACAACCUGAUCCCAGAGCCAAAAGGGCUGAGAAAUGUGGUUAAGAGACGAUGAAGCUCACUUUGCCCUACCAAAUAAGUCCCACUGAGAAAGUAAGCACAUCAAUAUUUCUUUGAGUGUUUUUCUUCUAGUUCAUAUAUUUCCAUAUGCUGCAUGAAUAUUUCUUUUAUUGGGGAUUGCAAGUCCAUCUGGUAGUUGUAUCGGGAAGGCUUGAGCUGACAGAUCCCUACUCUGUGCUCUGUUACAGAGAUUUGGACUGCUCUUACAGGAAUCAUAGAAUCACAGAAUCAUUAAGGUUGGGAAGACCAAUAAGAUCCUCUAGUCCAACCAUCAACCCAUGCCUGUGACUGCUCUAGACUAUGUCUCUCAGUGCCACAUGUCCGCAGUUCUUGAACACCUCCAGGGACGGUGACUCCACCACCUCCCUGGGCAGCCUGUGCCAAUGCAUCCUCUUUCUGAGAAGUUUUUCCUAACAUCCAACCUGAGAACAGUUGUUGAUCAGGUACAGACAACUACUCAUCAACUAUCCUUUUAGUUAGAACUUCCCAAAGGAAUGCAGGCUAUCAAGUUACUUACUAUUGCUAUGUUCCCACCGUGUCAUUUUUUUAUGUUAUUGUAUCUGAAGGACAGCAGUCAAGAAGAAAGAAACCUCUCUCUCUGUAUGUAGUUCUCAGUGCACCAACUCUGACCUGGGAAUCAUAAAGGAGAAAGGAUGCCUGAACAUCAGUACUAAGCAGAAAAUGUGCUGAGAUGUCACAGUUUGCCAAGACAACGAGAAUCACUUUCCCUUGUAUGUAUUAUUACAGAACAGGGGAAUAAUUAUCUGCUUUCAUACAAGCUUUUUCCUUCUGCAUGAUUAACUUCACUGAUAUCAAUAGAGAGUGUGAUGACUCUGAAAUGACAGCUCCUGGUAGCACGUUCUGGGAUUAGCACAAACAGGUUGUCACUGUACCCCUGUUAGGAACAGUCAGUCUUGUCAUGCUGAGUGCAGGACAGAAAAGCCAGGCUGGGACCAGGCAUCUGCCACCACCAUGUCUGUCUUCAUGGUGGCUCUCAGUUUGGGAUAUAGGGCUGGCUACUUCAAUGGGGCACAAGGGCCUUCACGCAGAUCCACAGGAUGGCAGCGGAGAAGCUUCCAGAUCCAAAUCACCUGGUCAUCCUUGUGCUAAGGGAUGAGUUGCAGCCUAAAAUCAGCAUUCUUCAGCUCAUGGAAUGGUUGGAUGGAGAGGAAGGUCAGAGAUGCGAGAGAGCAAGUCGAGGUAUUGGUAUGAAACAACCAACCUAUCCUUUUACUAAAGUUGUAAAAGAAUCUGUCAUAGGUCUCCUGUGGAAAUUAAUCAAUGUAUGGAAAACUGGAUAACAACUAUGGGGACAACAGGAAUGUGCCUAUAAAUUAAAAGAAGCUAUUGUGAGCAUGCAGAGCUAUCUGGGGAAGGCACUGGGGCAGGAUAGCAGUGCUCAGUGGAGCUAGGACAGGGUCCACAUAAAGGGAUUCUUCAGUAAAGUCCAUACUUUGUCAAUGUCAAGAUACACGGGAACUGUAAAACAAAGCAAACUGUGUGCAUGGAAUGAAAAUAGAAAUUUAGUCCAUCAUCGUGUGCCUUUGAAAACGUCAUAAUCCUUUUAAAAAGAUGACAAAAUAUCUGUGUAUUUUUUAAGAAACGUAGCAGGUGAAAGGAUUCAUUCUCAAAAAUCCAUGAAGUGUACAGUGAUGAGUUAUUGAGGUUUGGGGGGGAGGGUGUUUUUGUAAUUCUGUAGGCAUCUCAGUCCUCUGGUGAAAUGAUGUAUGGGGCAAUCGUCUGGUAGGGGCUGAUGGGAUGUAAAUGAAACUAAUUAAGGAAAUGUCAAACAUAAUUAAUAAAACAGGUUUAAGUUGCAAA